rnacentral:pre_miRNA from 1 species
AAAGUACUCCCUCCGUCCCAAAAUUCUUGUCUUAGAUUUGUCUAGAUACGGAUGUAUGAAGUCACAUUUUAGUAUUAGAUACAUCCGUAUCUAGACAAAUCUAAGACAAGAAAUUUGGGAUAGAGGGAGUAGUUG